AGUGAACGCUGGCGGUAGGCCUAACACAUGCAAGUCGAACGGCAGCACAGUAAGAGCUUGCUCUUACGGGUGGCGAGUGGCGGACGGGUGAGGAAUACAUCGGAAUCUACUUUUUCGUGGGGGAUAACGUAGGGAAACUUACGCUAAUACCUCAUACUACCUACGGGUGAAAGCAGGAGAUCUUCGGACCUUGCGCGAUUGAAUGAGCCGAUGUCGGAUUAGCUAGUUGGCGGGGUAAAGGCCCACCAAGGCGACGAUCCGUAGCUGGUCUGAGAGGAUGAUCAGCCACACUGGAACUGAGACACGGUCCAGACUCCUACGGGAGGCAGCAGUGGGGAAUAUUGGACAAUGGGCGCAAGCCUGAUCCAGCAAUACCGCGUGGGUGAAGAAGGCCUUCGGGUUGUAAAGCCCUUUUGUUGGGAAAGAAAAGCAGCAGGUUAAUACCCCGCUGUUCUGACGGUACCCAAAGAAUAAGCACCGGCUAACUUCGUG
rnacentral:rRNA from 1 species